CAAAAGCAGCUCUGGCCAUCUACAGUAUGUUGAGUAUAGUUUAGACAUCAGUAAGUGAUGUUUUCCUCCCUUUUCCUUGAGAAACUGAACCCUUACCUGCUCAACCGCUCUAAGUAGCUCUGCGAGUGUGAAAUAUAAAAUGUUUGCUCGGGGCGUGUUGCCGAUUAAGUUUGUGUGUGCGAGCGCGUGUGCACCCAGCAGCAUGUGUGUGGCUGCCUUGGUGCCUGAAGAGUUUUUGGUAAGAAGCAUAAGCAUCACUGCUCAGGCCUCCAGACUCUCCCGUUCCAAUUAACCAGCCCAGCAGCCUGCAGCUUGACUGGCCUUAUCUGGGAGGAAAAAAAAAAAAGGGCCUGAGAGGGGCGGGCGAAGUGACAGAGGGAGACAGGACAUAGGAUAGACAGAGAGUUGGAACGCAAGAGAAAAAAAGUAAGGCUUGAGAUAAAAAGAAAAAUGAAAAAAACGGAACUAAGUGGAUCUUGUUCUGCAGUGCUACGGUGGAUUCCUGCUUGCUUCUGCUAUUCCUUCACCCAAAGUGAACAACAUACCCUUUCCCGCUCUCCUUCCUUCCUCACGUUAAUACGAGGGAAAACCAUUUUGAAAUAAACACCUUCAAGAGUUUUAGGAUGUAAAGUAAGGUGACAGAGGAAUUGUUCUAUCGCCUGAAGUUGGCUGGGAAAGACUCCCCUGCGGCCCUGUGUGCAGGAUAAGCGGUUUGCAGAUGGAUGGAUGUUAGUGACAACAGUAGCCUUACAUUGACUUGGCAUUUCACAACAACAUCCAAAAGCUACCAUUAAAAAAAAAAAAAUGUACAUGCUGGCAGGCAUCCCGUCCUUUCUGUAUGUUAUUUGCCAAGAGCACUUACAAGCAAUUUGUAGUUCUGUAGUGGCCAAUGACACGAAGCAUUUCAGCAGCAGCCCACCAACCUAUGAAAGGGAAGGGAGUACAGCGAGUGGGUUGGAAAAAAGCACUGCUUUUUGCGUGUAGGAAAAAGGGUUUGACAGGGAAUGAGAGGUUGGAAAAGUGGACACAAGUUACCAAUAAUGACUAACAAUGAAUUAUAAAUGAAGCUUCAAACUACCAGAUACAAACAUAGUUAUGAAUAAGUUUUGGAAUACAACGUUAAUGAGAUAAUGACUGAGAUAGUCUGUGAUAUUGUCAUACCAAGUACAGACACAGGUGUUUAAUACGGAGCUGCUAGUUAAAUGCAAGGCACACGUUUAGGUUCAUCGGGGUAUCGCUAUUUCCAAUUCCAUUUCGAAAAUACCUGUUAAGUCAAAAGCACGAUUGUCGAUUCUGACGAUUUGUUUUUAUUUUUCACCCACGCGGACCAUACAGCUUCCAAAUGAAAUGAACAAUAUUGGGAAAAACAGCAUAGAUGACCAUUAGCUUGUAGUUAAACGGGCAACAAAAUACUGUUGAAUACAGAACUGAAAAAAAACAACUAGCUUUAAAUAAGUCAUUGGUGUGAAGUUAAUUUGCUUUCCAAGGGAUACAUAACAAUGGCAAAUCAGCAAGUGAUGAAAAAAUGACAAAAACACUUUAAUAGGAAAUUGAACCGUGGUUUAAAAAAGGUGACCUGCAUAAAAAAAAUGUAAUUCUUAACAUUUUUUAUUGACUUGAUUUUCACCAUAUUUGUUGUUGCCAAAUGCGUAAUGGCAAUAUUCCAAAGCGCCAUCAGAAGUUAGUGGGUUGCAGCCCUUUGUUGAUCAGAUCGCCAAAAGAAUUCAAAACAGAAGUAAAGCCUAGUUUACGCUUCUGCGUUUUCAGAGAUGCAAGGACACGCAGACGCAAGAGCCCCUUGCGUGUCCCUUGCGUGCCUCGACCCAUUUCUCUAGACUACCGUCAAAAGCUACGCAAGCCUCUCGCAGCCCGCAAGGCUGCGAUUGGUCUGCUAACUACAUCUUUUCCGGAGUCUCCCAUUUCCGUUUUCAUAUCUUUUGUCGGAAAAAAUCUGUAAAUAUGACUUCUACAACCUGUCAUUGGCGGACUAUAAGGACGCGCGGAUGGUUUGCCAGUCGAGAAGUGCACAAAGUUGUGGAGGAAAAUACGGGACAAAUGUGUCCGCGAUGAAAAGCAACAGUGGCGAUGCACGGGGCAAUAAAGUCUAUGAUAAAUAAAUAAACAAACCAACAACUUCCACACACAGAGAUGUGACUCUACCUAUUGUUCUGGCGGUGAAUUGCUCUGCAACACACGCAAGCCUUUUAGAACCAUGAAUUGAAACGAGUGCGUCGACACAACAGUGCGUAAAGACGCAUGCGCAGAAGCAUGCGCCAGCCUUAACCGCGAAACUAUCCUUUAAAUGAACGUAUAGAAGUGCUUUAAAAGCCUGACCACAAUCCAGUGUGGUUCAUUGUGUACCUUCACACGUUGCUGCUUGUCUGUAAAAUGGAGGAACAGAAGUUACCACUAUCAAAUAACAUUUUGCUUGAGCAAGUCCUAGAUUCAUGAAAAUUGACUAGUAUGGGUAUUACUGGGUUUUGUGUGUGCAUCGGUGUAUCUGAGGUUGGGGUGGAGAAUUGCUUUGCCUUCUCACCCCCAAUAAAUGAUGGACGAAAUCUGACAGGAAAAAUGAGAAGGACCGAAAAGUAAAGGACGUGAGAUGGAGCAGAGAGGGAGGACACUGAAGCACACGUAGUAAUUCAGAGCAGAUUGCCUGUGGUAAAUGACGUCGAUUACCAUCUUAUAUAUAAUGUCAAAAAGACAUUUUCUACACUUGUGCCACGGGUCUGAUAUUUGCACCUUAUUAAGGGGGCUGCCCUAUAUUUUAAGAAGUCAACGUACUAACCGCAGUGAGCUUCCAUUUACCUCUAAGCUACCUGUGCAUGUGUCUGAUUGACGACUUUGGGGAUUUUGAGUGAAAGGGGUUGCUGAAUAGAACUGUCGCUUGGAGGUAGACUGUGUAAAAGGACUAAAAUGUAAUGAAUAUUAAAACAAGAGGCCAAAAAGGCCUUGUAAUUGUGCACUUGACAUUUAUUAAAACAAAAUGGAAGUUUGAAUUGAAAGGAUACGGAAUGUUCAUACAGAGAAUGAUUCAUUACUAUUCUGCCGAAUACUGGAUAUUCUAAAUCAGCCAAGGUGUCAAGAAGAAACUAACUGAAAGUUAGGAAAUGAAAAAAAUUGUUAAUAUCUCCAUUGGCUGUCUCUAGCCACCAAACUAGUGUUAUUGAAUCUUAGUCAAAGGAAACCGGCAACUACCAAUCUGUUUAACGUUCAGGGGGUGGAAAACAAACUUGAGUAUAGCACUUUGUAAGCAAAUUUGUAAAUGGUAUUGACAUUUCAAUAUCCCAGCGAAAGCUAUUAGAGGGUCUUCAUUGUUGCAAACAUUUUAAAGGAAUCAAAAGAAAUAUUGUGCACUGGAAACCCGUGGACCGACAGAACCAAUAAACCAGAGUCAGGAUAUCGUACUCAACAUUCCAGAUUAGCAAUUCCCAUUGACGUUGGCGCUUACAUUGAUUAUAAAAGAGUCAAAGCAGCAAUGAGAGCAAGAGAGCAAUGUGUUUAAUUUCACAGACCUUGUAGACUCGCUGAGCUCACUAUUGGCCUCCCAAUUCAUUCGGUACACUUCCCAUGGAGGCAUAUUGAUCUAGGCAAUAUGGUUGAAAACAGUGUAAAUACCGCUCAUGCAGCUUCUCUCCCGUGUAGUCUGCACUAUUAAGGGUGUCUCUCUCGAGCAGAGUAACUAAGAAUAACUGAAAAAAAUGCAACUGACCCUGGUCCGAAAACAUUGAUUCAGUUCAGCUCUAAAUCCGGAGGAGCUGGAACAUGCACAGGCAUUUGGUGCCGCUUUGUGACUUUUGAGUAAUCUGUUUUGAGACGAUAUGAGCGGACACACUGCUUCUUGCGUGCACGUACACACAUGGACAGAGGGGGGAGGAAGGGGACAAAAUAUGCACAUAUGUGCGAACCUCAGGGCACAAGUAUGUUAGGCAGAGGAGAAGAGACAGGAAGGUCUGAGGGGAAAGAGGGUGGGAGCUGAAAACAAAAGGAUCAGAUUAUGUAAAUACUGCUAAUGCUCAUUCUCAAGAAAACAGAAAAAAAGGCAGGAAGAGUUCUGUGAGCAUCCAACUUGAACUCACGAGACAAAUUGCAUCCAAAUAUCAUGUCACAGUGGAGAUACUACAGAAUAAACAGCCCUUUAAUAAAAUAAAAUGACAAUGGCUGCCAAAAUCAAACUGCUCAGCAGUUCAGGAUUUAUUAACAAAAACCAAGUGGAAAAUCUAAAGGACGGUUUAGCUGAUCAAUACAAAAUGCACCAACAGUCACUUUGUCAAAUGCGUCAUAUACGAGGUGUGGACGUCGUCUCAGGUGUGUUUAGUAAUGCAAAGUUACGUCUGAGAUGAAGUUGAUAAGCACAACUAUUGAUGCGGCAUCAUAAAACAGUGGUUAUUUAGUGCAGCACAUUAGCAAUGGACAGUGGUGGGGGCUGCAUGCUUGCCUGUGCGCUUCAGUAAUCAUAGCCUUUCCUCCUUGUGCUCACAACACCCAGUCUUCAGCCUAUAAAACAUUGACUACUCGCUGGUGCAGACAGGACCCGUUAACCUCGGAGGAUAUGAGGCAGAUACCCAUGCACGCACAGUAGUGCACACUUUAUGCUUCUGUCACAGGCGAAAUGAGGAAAACUGCCUCAGAAUAGUUGUAAAACAAACUGUUCACGGUUUUAAGAACCUCUACAGAAAAAUCAUGGAGUUAGGAGAAUAAUAAUUUGGAGAAAUUAUGAAAAAAUUAUAUAUAAUGGAUCUGGGUUAGGUAAUGAGGAUCCCUAGAAUGAUACAACUACUGGCAGUUUUAGAUUUUUGCGUUAAAUUCUCCAGUUAUGGCAAGGAUAUUUUUUCUACUUUCAUACUCUAGUCCAACAAAUAAUGAAAUCAAUUCAACAUCUGAAAUAUGGCAACGCUAUUUCGCUAAUGCUCAUAUUUCCAUGAAUUAUAUUUUGUUUAUCUGAAUUUGGUCUAUAGAUUUACAUGCUUAUGGUAUUAACUUGUAUGAUCAUCAUGGAAAAUUGGGUCAUUCUAAUGGGAAGUAUUAAUACAUAUAGCAAAGAAAGAUGAACCGAAAAAUAAUAAUAUAGGAUUUGUGUGUCAAAUCUCAAAUCUCCCUUCAGUAAGCGAGCCAGGGAAACAAAGUUCCAACUUAAAAGGAUCACACAAACAAAAGGCUUAUAGAUCUUUACGCACAAAUUCACAUUGGCCGACAAUUUUAACAAAUAGUAAGAAAUAACUUCCUUUCAGUUGUAGGUUUACAUCAGGCAGCGGUCCGUGAAAGUUACAGCCUGACACCACUGGGUAAUAGGGCGGACUGAACAACUGCCAGUAAACACUGUGCCCGUCUACAAACACUGAACCAGUUAUAAUCCAGCUGUUAUUCCAUGAUGAAGCCCAGCUUUCCCACAGACUACUACUAACUGAGUGAGCAUCAGUGUUAAAUUUCAAUGGGAUCAAAGGGAACCGGUGGUGGGGCAUUUUAUAUAUAUAUAUAUAUAUAUAUAUUCAGUUUAACUCACUCCGUUUAGCUUUUUGUUACUGGAGGUUACAGAGAUUAGAUAAAGAACAAGACAAACAUAUCAAUGGAAAAGAUCUGUAGUAAAUCAAAAUUCUAAUGUUUCACUACUAAAAAAAACCCUCACCAUACUAGAUGUUCUUAUUGAUCGCUUCAUCUCCACUCUAUCCUCACACUCUUUCACUCACACUUUUGGUGUUAACACUAAAGUACUAGACUAUUAUUGAUAUGAUUGUUAGUAAUUUAUCAACAGUGGACAUUAUUGAUGAAAGGUACCACAGAAAUUUUGUGAUCUGUUCAGAUCUCUACACAGUUUGGCACACAUCUCAACUCUGGAUCAAUUACACAAUAUCCUGAACCUUACCCUAAUAUUCACAAAAAUAUUAGGCCAUUAGGACCGCUGCAUUUGGUUUUCUAGUUUUUCAUCGGACAUUGGUGAAAUGUUAAUCCAUGUUUAAAUUGAGAAUAACUAGUUAAAGCCAUAGUUAGUCCCUGGAUUGUGACUGCACCCCCUCCUGAGAAGAGGGCCAUUAGCAAUGGCAAAUAUUAUGUAAAAAAGAUACACAAAAUAACUUCUUUAAAAAAUUUGUUUUAAUCAAGGUAUAAUGAGCAUUCCAUGCAAACAACAUUUGAAUCAGCAUGAGGGGUCUGCAGAGAUCACAGUCUCCUAGAGCUCAACUACAGUGCAUAGUGGCAGGACUACAGUGACCUUUUCUUUGGUCUUACUUAAAUGCACAGAGGAUGUAUUAACCACACAUCUUCUAGCAAUGCGCUCAACUGGCAGAAAUGAUGCUGGGUACGACGUGUCUGUUCCCUGCAAGCCCCAAACUUCUAUUGGCUUUCCAUAAAAAUGUCUGUCCGGGUGGAGAUGAAGCCAGGAAACUUGUGCAAGAACAUGUUUAAAUGCCGUACCCUUUGACACAACAUUAACAACUAUAAACUGCUUUAUAAUGGCUGGUCGUAGUUCUGCUAGAGGGUCAAGGACGGGUUCCUCAAAACUGUUAGUGUUUCCACACCACUUCGCAUGAACAUAUGCUGACCUUUCUGCUCUGCAUCUAUCGAUUGAGUAAGUUACAUUCAUAUAUGUUACCCGUUUACAUGUCAUGGCAAAACAUUCAACCUCAGUGACACAAGGGUACAUCUGAUGAUACAUUGUCAACAUUGCAUGUCUGUCAGACUCAUCCAAGACUGUCUGGUGGAAUGGAGAAAGAGGCACCACUGUACAGUUUUGUAGGGAAAGUCGUUCUGCUGACACCAAAACACUGUGCUUUACAUAAAGCAUAUCAGCUGUUUCAAAGUCCCAACCAUUUGUCUUCCUAAAAUACUGGUCCUUCCGUAUAACAAUAACCUCGUAUGUGAUUGGAGGACCCUUAGACUCCUCGUCCAAUCACGUGUGAGGUCAUAGGCAUGACUGAUACAGCAGUACUUGCAAGACGAGCAUACAAACAGACACGUGUGUUACUAUAUUCAGAAGAACUGUAUCUCCAGUUCCUUUGUUCGGUUUUUGCUGCUUCGUGAAUAAUGGCGGGACGACGUGUCGCGUUCAACUCGCCUUCAACUCCUCUCCGCGGUCACCAACUUUUGGCCAGUCUGCAGACAGACGAGAAGAUGCUGCUGAAUGCUCUCAGUGGAUCGUCUCGUCACUCCAACAACAAACUGCCGAUAUCAACGAGCGGUUCGCUCCACUGGAGCGUUCGGGACUCUGCGGGUUUCUGUCCAUGGAGGAGAGGAACUGACUCAAAGAAGAGGAGACGGGCGCACAAUCCCAAGAUAGCGGUAAGAAUACGUUCGAUGACUGCAAGCUAAGCUAAAAGUAGCGUAGCCUCAAGCUAAGCUAAGAGUAGCCUAGUAGCCUUACAAGUGAGCAGAAACAGCUUUAUUAAAGUGUGUUUUCUUUGCCGUGUCGUUUACAGGAAGCGGUGCGCCGUCUUCACAACUCCGAGACGAACUACAGGCGCCACGAACCGGAGCAAGGGUCAGAUUUACAGAAUAUGCUUUCAUUCUGCGGUAUAAGGGAAUAUAUACAUAUAGAUACCGAUCAUAACUGUACAUUUUGUUUUCACAGACUAAUCUCGCCUCAUAAUGAGGCGGUGACCUCGUAUUUGCUCCGGGAAAAGUCCAGAUUUAGACGACGUCAUUGUGUGUAAGUGACACGGUUUACUGUUUCUCCUUCCUUGUUAAAUGUUACUGUGACUUGCGUUUGAUUUUUUUCGUAUUCAUA
ensembl:lncRNA